GAGAGAGGAACAGACACCCACACAUUUCCUUAUUACUACCAACCCAGGGGAUGUGGUACAUUACAUUUCAGAGGAAAAGGCACACAUUUCUUUUUCCUGGGCAUGGGGAGCUGUUAAGAUGGGGUGAUGGGGAUCAUGAGUCUAACGGAGUCUCAAACCACCGUCCCCUCGAGGGAAUCCAUGGUGGUUCAGGCCUGCUCUUUGCAGGAUAGCUCAGUGUAAAUAUUGCCGCAAUACUGUAAAUAUUUAAGUUCUCAAACAUGAGUCAGUUUGGAAAAAACAGACCCUGGGAGCAAAUCUAAUCAACCCCAGCCCCCCCUGGGUCCACUGCUUCUUUCAGUGGAUUCCUCAAAAUAUCUCUCUCUCUCUCUCUCCCCUCAACUCAUUUUUGACUCGAGGAGGAGGAUGAAAUUCCAAAAGACGGCCAUCACUUUCUGUGGAAGCGAAGGUGCACCGCAGGACUUUCCAGGACCCCCUCUGGGAAAGGUUAGCAAGAGCUGUCGGAGAACACGAUCCUGAAGCCAGCCGGUGGAGAUCCCACAGAGCGAGCGAGCGAGCGAGUCUUCUCAAGUCCUACUCAACCAGACUUGGGUGUUGCCAUCCCACCCUUGGACAGGGUUCCUUGCUCCCAUUACCGGACAAUUCCGGUUGACGGUCCGUCCUGCUCCGUUCCUCUCCAGGUCUCGCUUCGCCCUCGGUCGCUUAUAGCAAAGCCAGGCAUGAAAUGGAACCGAAUAAAGAACAGCUGCUUGUGUUGGUGCCUUGCCUUGAACGGGAUCACAAAUGUUUCCUGGACCCGUUGAGAACAGCUUAUCUAAUCCAUCCAGGUGUGUUGACCCUGAGCUUUAAAAGCCCGGCCAUCCGUCUGGAGCGAAGCCAGCAGCGUCCUCGCUGCGUUGGAGUCCGCCCCCCCACAGGAAAGCCGUUUCAUUCCCCCAAUCCUUUUUCUUGGGAGCUGGCCAUUCACACAGGUGGCUUGGUUCCCAAGUCAUGCACAGUCUUCGUUCUCAUCGGGAGUUGUCCUGUGGCUGAAAGCGGAUCCUCCUUCUCACGACCACCUCGUCCAGGAGAAGCAGAGGAGAAUCUGGAUCCGUCCGCAGCUGGGGUGGGAAAAGUUUGCAUCUGUUUCCUCCACACUCGGGAUGCAAUCAGAUGGGACAUUAUGACAGAUCUGAGAUGGAUGGAUGGAUGGAUGGAUGGAUGGAUGGAUGGAUGGAUGGAUGGAUGGAUGGAUGGAUGGAUGGAUAGAUAGAUAGAUAGAUAGAUAGAUAGAUAGAUAGAUAGAUAGAUAGAUAGAUAGAUAGAUAGAUAGAUAGAUAGAUAGAUGGAUGCAUGGAUGCAUGGAUGCAUGGAUGCAUGGAUGCAUGGAUGCAUGAUUUCUGAGACUUAUAUACCACCCCAGCAGUGCACAGCACUAUUCUGGGUGGUGUACAUAUAAUACCAUAUAAUACUAAAAGAACAAUUAAAUAGUCUAGCAAACAACAAGCAGCACCAAGUAAGGAAAACAACAACAAGAGUAUAAACCCAGAUGGUGUAACAGAACCAGGCAGCAGCAGAAGAUGGUCAAGCUCAGGGGAGGCUGUCGUCAGAAGAUUCUCAGGAGAAGAGCUGAGUCUUCAGCGUCCUCCUAAAGUCGGAGAGGGAGGAGGAGGCCAGGCAUCGCUCCGUUAGAGGGUUCCGAAGAGCUGGUGCCACCACUGAGAAGGCUGGGCUUCUUGUCAAAGAUCGGCUCUCUACUCGAAGGAGCAAGGCCUGUGAGGAUCUGGCGGAGUGGGCCAAUGGCCUCCGGGAGAGUUGUGUCCGUUGUGCGCCUACGGCUUGAUCACGCAGGCAUACAGCUCACGUUUUGGACUGCUUGUGGAGCCGCCAGACGCCAACUAUUUCCCCAUGAUCACAUGGCAUGCGGCGAGUAGCAUUCCCAGGCUGACCCUGAUCCACACCUCAGCUGGAGUUCUUCGGUCCAGCAGUAGGGCUGGUAUUUUGGGGCAAGCUGGGCCGGAACGAUACCCCGAUGCACAGAAAGGUCCCUUUCAGGGAGGUGGGUCCCAGAAAAGCAAUCCUUUCCUAUGUGAUCAUUUGA
rnacentral:lncRNA from 1 species